GACACAUCACCUUUUUCAAGUGU
rnacentral:siRNA from 1 species